rnacentral:rRNA from 1 species
CCUACGGGUGGCAGCAGUGAGGAAUCUUGGUCAAUGGACGAGAGUCUGAACCAGCCAAGUAGCGUGAAGGAUGACUGUCCUAUGGGUUGUAAACUUCUUUUAUAAAGGAAUAAAACGAGGCACGUGUGCCUUUUUGCAUGUACUCUAUGAAUAAGGAUCGGCUAACUCCGUGCCAGCAGCCGCGGUAAUACGGGGGAUCCGAGCGUUAUCCGGAUUUAUGGGGUUUAUAGGUAGCGUAGCUGGUUUGUUAAGUCAGUUCUGAAAGUUGGCGGCUCAACCCCAGCCAGCAGUUGAAACUGGGGGUCUAGAGUGUGCGAGAGGUAUGCGGAAUGCGUGGUGUAGCAGUGAAAUGCGUAGAUAUCGCGCAGAACCCAGAUGGCGAAGGCAGCAUACCGGUGCACAACUGACGCUCAGGCACGAAGGCGUGGGUAUCGAACAGGAUUAGAUACCCCUGUAGUC